GCAGGUAUGAGGUAGAUGACAUCGAUGAAGAAGGCAAAGAGACACAAGACCCACUACCCUGAGCUGGUGUGGGUCAUCCCGCUGCCCCAGUGGAAGGCCAACCCCGAGACGGACUCCAAGAGCUUGUUUGGACCAUGGCAGGGCAUGGAGCCCGAGUGAGGCAGGAUAGGCCAUGAAGGAGACAACGACGUUCUGGGGAUGCUGCCACCCUGGUGACCGCAUAGCCAACAUAGUAAGCCUGAGCAUUCGCCUGGUCACUGAGCUCAUUCAAGCAAAGCUAUCUCCAGUAGAACUUCCCCUUUUGAGAACGUGUGUGUUUGGAUUUUACCUGUCCUCAAACUGACCCUUUGCUCAUUUUAAUAGUAAAAAUACACCUCUGGGUGGAGACUUAAAAUGCUAUUGAGACAUUCGUCCUAGGAACAAGCAUGCAUAGCAAAUGCCCAUGUACACCCAGAACCACCCAGAAUAUGCUUACUAGUGACUCCUCUUCCCACCCUUAUGAACAAUUGUGUAAGACUCCCAACACGGGGGUUUUUCCUGCAGUAAUCAACACUGUCUCACCCCGACGAACAGCCUGUUCUGAACUCUCCAAGGUAUAUUGCCCAUUUUGUACUUUCAAAAUACUGUUUGUCUCUUGCAAUAAGUUACUCUGUGCUGCA